UUAAUUGAAACCAAUACUGAGGUUAAUCACUGUUAAUGAUUUAAUAGAAAAUAUUUAAUUUUCCAAUUAAA
rnacentral:tRNA from 1 species